GAUGAACGCUAGCGGCAGGCUUAAUACAUGCAAGUCGUGGGGCAGCACAGUGUAGCAAUACAUGGGUGGCGACCGGCAAACGGGUGCGGAACACGUACACAACUUACCUUCUGGUGGGGGAUAGUCUUUGGAAACGGAGAUUAAUAACCCAUAUUAUAUAUGAGCUGCAUGGUUUGUAUAUUAAAGCUUUAUUGCCGGUAGAUGGGUGUGCGUAUGAUUAGGUAGUUGGCGGGGUAACGGCCCACCAAGCCGACGAUCAUUAACUGGUGUGAGAGCACGACCAGUCACACGGGCACUGAGACACGGGCCCGACUCCUACGGGAGGCAGCAGUAAGGAAUAUUGGUCAAUGGACGGAAGUCUGAACCAGCCAUGCCGCGUGGAGGAUGAAGGUCCUCUGGAUUGUAAACUUCUUUUAUAGGGGGCGAAAAAAGGGAAUUCUUUCUCGUCUGACGGUACCCUAUGAAUAAGCACCGGCUAACUCCGUGCCAGCAGCCGCCGUAAGAC
rnacentral:rRNA from 1 species